UACGUAGGAGGCGAGCGUUGUCCGGAGUUACUGGGCGUAAAGGGUGCGCAGGCGGUGGCCCGCGUGGGCGGUGAAAGCUCCUGGCUCAACUGGGAGAGGGCCGUCCAGACGGGGUCACUUGAGGGGCGGAGAGGGGCGUGGAAUUCCGGGUGGAGCGGUGAAAUGCGUAGAGAUCCGGGAGGAACACCGACCGGCGAAAGGCAGCGCCCUGGCCCGCCAUCUGA
rnacentral:rRNA from 1 species